UUUCCACCCCCUCAAACCCAACCUCUUGACUUUCAUCCAAAGACUGCCAACUUCUAUUUGGCUGCCUUUCCAGAUUAAGUUGCUUCUCAGAUUUUUACAGAUGGAGUUAUGAAAUAUAGCUCUUUCCAUAUAUUUUCCUUCACUCUACUUGUGGUUAAGCAUAAGAUAUGCUUUAUUUAGAUAUGGAAGUUCACUAAAUCCCAUAACCUUGUUUUGUUGUGUCAAAGGAUAACCAUUUUUAAAAAGGGGAAUUGCAUGUCAUGUUCAGUGCAACUCACUUUUCUUAGGAUAACUUUUAUUUGUUAACUAGGAAACUAUAACUGAGAAACUUAUGUUUGUAUUCUCCUUAAAUUCUUUUUGGAAGGGGCUAAAGAUGGCUUGAAAAUGCUAUGGGAUAAAGACAUUUUUGAGAUUGAGGGAGUAAGGGAAGAGAUAUGAAAGGUGGCUUAGGACUUGUACUGGUGAAAGGAGAGCCCACACCUCUCAAGAAUCUCCAAAGUGCUGAAGAAAUAAGACUUUUAAAAAUGUCAUGGGAAUUUUGCGAAGGCCAAGUAAGGACAUAACUGAUUCUCCAUGGUGAAAGUUUAACCAAAGUUGACAAAAACCACCACCGUCUACUAUAAAAGCGUUGUGGAUAUGUACCAAGAAGGACUUCACAUACUUGAUAUGACACUGCUGAUAGAGAAGUUAUUUCGGUGGGAAGAAUAGAACUUUAUCCUGAUAACAUCAUGAGUGUGGCUUUGAGGACCAAACAGUUCCUAAAUCCUACAGCCUAUGAUAGUUCCAUUGCUUGAUCAAGUUUAACAGUUUUUUUCUCCUUUCAUAAUGGUUUAUCACCUAGAUACAUUUUUCUACACCAUCCGAAAAGGAAAGAGAACUUCAGGGGCCAAAAAACCCACAAAGGCAGAGAAGAUAAUCAUUUGAAAGUAUUAAUGGCAGUAAGAAAAUCUUGAAAGAACAAUAGUUUUGUUUUGGUUUUUUUGGUCUGUCUCAAAGAAUGCUUUGACAAAUCUGAUCUGUGCACUUUUCCUGAGUCCCUGGCUUUGAAAUCAAAUCUGGUUUUAAUACAUAGCAGGUAUCAUCAGAGUACUUGGGUCUGUAAUUGAAGGAAAGUUGAGAUGGAGGGUGGGAAGGGAUUAGUUUGAUGCUUUCAUGGCUUGGCACAUCUGUGAAUGUUAGAAUAUAGAAGGAGAUGGAUAUCCAGGUUUAGAUCAGACCUAUCCGGAUGCAGGAGGCACAGAGUUUAGAUUGAAGGUGGCUAUUCAUCUCGAGGUUCAAAUGCUCAUCUUCCAAAGUCUGCCAAAAGGGUGUCAGCCUAUGGAGGGCAGUCUGUUUCUGUUCUUGGUCUGGUUCUUCCCUGAGCAAUAAUAAUUCCAGAAACAUAAACUCUCAUGACACAUAUCAACAUGUCUUUUUCUGAUGUUGGCCCCAAACUGGAAGUUAAACAAUCUGGCCUGAAUUCAGGGCAUCAAAAUGAAAAAAAAAAUAGACUCAAAUUCACAUAAAUUUAGCAGUUUUUUGUAAUAUAAUUCAAUUUAAAUAUUUGUAUAUAUUUAUAUAUGUACAUCCAUAUAUCCACACAUAUAUGUGUGUGUAUAUGUAUGAGGCAGCUAUUUGGCACUGUGGAUAGAGUGUUGGCCCUGGACUCAGAAACACCUGAGUUCAGAUCUGACUUCAGAUACUAAACCAGCUUUGUGACUCCGAGCAAGUCAUUAACCCUCUUUGCCUCAGUUUCUUCAUGUGUAAAAUAAGCUAGAGAAGGAAAUGGCAAACCAUCCCAGUACCUUUGCCAAGACAAAAAAAAAGAUUAAAUAUCAGCAAACAAAAAGUGCAUGAAGGGGAGCAAUAUGAAAUGACUGGGAAGGUAGAUGUGAGCCAGAUGAUGGAGUUCUUGAAAUUCUAGGUUUAUGGUUUUGUGUUUUAUUCUAAAAGCAAAAGGGAGCUGUUGUUUUUUUUUUUUUUCUGAAGGGCAGGGAGUGGGGAGGGGAUGAUGGGGGCAAAAUAGGUUUUUAGGAAUUUGUUAACUUUGUGGGAGAUAGACCAGGGGCAACGAAGCAAAUGGAGAUGAGGAGACCAAAUAUAGAUGAAUACUUUGUCAUCUGUUUUUUUCCUCCCUUUUUCAAAGAUACAUCCUUUUUGAAUUGAGUUUUUUUGUUCUUUUUCUGUACGUAGCCAAAAAUAAAACUUCUUUGCAUUGA
ensembl:lncRNA